UACGAAGGGGGCUAGCGUUGCUCGGAAUCACUGGGCGUAAAGCGCACGUAGGCGGAUUGUUAAGUCAGGGGUGAAAUCCUGGAGCUCAACUCCAGAACUGCCUUUGAUACUGAGGAUCUUGAGUUCGGGAGAGGUGAGUGGAACUGCGAGUGUAGAGGUGAAAUUCGUAGAUAUUCGCAAGAACACCAGUGGCGAAGGCGGCUCACUGGCCCGAUACUGACGCUGAUGCACGAAAGCGUGGGGAGCAAACAGG
rnacentral:rRNA from 1 species